UACGAAGGGUGCAAGCGUUACUCGGAAUUACUGGGCGUAAAGCGUGCGUAGGUGGUGAGUUAAGUCUGUCGUGAAAGCCCCGGGCUCAACCUGGGAAUGGCGAUGGAUACUGGCUCGCUAGAGUGCGGUAGAGGGUGGUGGAAUUCCCGGUGUAGCAGUGAAAUGCGUAGAGAUCGGGAGGAACACCAGUGGCGAAGGCGGCUUCCUGGCCUGUUCUUGACGCUGAGGCGCGAAAGCUAGGGGAGCAAACGGG
rnacentral:rRNA from 1 species